rnacentral:rRNA from 1 species
UACAGAGGGUGCAAGCGUUGUCCGGAUUUAUUGGGCGUAAAGCGCUCGCAGGUGGUUCGUUGCGUCGUGCGUGAAAGACCCCGGCUCAACUGGGGAGGGUCGUGCGAUACGGGCGAACUGGAGGCCAGUAGGGGGAUGCGGAAUUCCGGGUGUAGUGGUGGAAUGCGUAGAGAUCCGGAGGAACACCAACGGCGAAGGCGGCGUCCUGGACUGGUCCUGACACUCAGGAGCGAAAGCGUGGGGAACGAUC